ensembl:snRNA U6 U6 spliceosomal RNA
GUGCUCGCUUCGGCAGCACAUAUACUAAAAUAGGAAAGAUACAGCGAUUAGCAUGGCCCCUGCGCAAGGAUGACUUGCAAAUUCAUGAAACGUUUCUUUUUUUU